rnacentral:rRNA from 1 species
UACGUAGGGUGCAAGCGUUGUCCGGAAUUAUUGGGCGUAAAGAGCUCGUAGGCGGUUUGUCGCGUCUGCUGUGAAAACUCGGGGCUUAGCCCCGGGCCUGCAGUGGGUACGGGCAGACUAGAGUGCGGUAGGGGAGACUGGAAUUCCUGGUGUAGCGGUGAAAUGCGCAGAUAUCAGGAGGAACACCGGUGGCGAAGGCAGCUCGCUGGGACGUAACUGACGCUGAGACGCGAAAGCGUGGGGAGCAAACAGG